GCAGUCAUCCAAACGGAGGCUGGAACGUAUCUCUGUUACUCUAGUAACGUACUGUACAACCACCAGGAAACACAUGAGUAGUGUCAUUGAUAGGUUGCUGUUUUUGUUAUUUUUUUGUUUGUCUGUGAGAGACCACGGUGAGAACAUUUUUUCCCCCAGAAAUAAUUAUUUAAAUUGAAGUGUAUAAGUCAUUUUCAUACAGUGGUAUUGUUUUUGGAGUUAAUAAUAUAUUAAAACUAAGGCGUAAAGUUAGCAACAUAUACGCAAAAGCUCUAAAGACGUUAUCCCCAGGAUUCACAGGCUUAAUCUAAACCCUGUCUGUGACCUACAUAAUAUAACAUAUUUGUGAUUUUGCUGUAAACAUGUUUUAUAAUGCAUAACUAACAGGGGAGCUCCAUUAAGUACACGACUCAAUAGUGGAUUUACAUAAACCAUAUAUACUUCUUGAAGACUAUUACUAAAAUGUCUAUUUAUCAUCUGACUGGAUAAUGUUUGGUAACAGACAUGGAACAGGUGUCUGAGUGAUGUAUGUGUGACAUUGUGUAGAAUUCACUUUUGUCAACACUGCUUUAGAUGAGUCUAAGUCAUGUAAACAAACAAAUCUACCUAAAGUAACUAAACAUAAGUUAUCUAUUUUAUUUGUCCAUUUGCAAUAUUGAUAAUUUAAGGAACAUAUGUGUUAGACAAAAAGUGAGUUACAUCAGUUAUUAACUCAACAUUUAAAUGCAGUAUAUCACAGAUAUAUGACAGAGGAGACUGAAUCUUUUCUGGAUGUUACAGAGACAGAUGAGACGUGUGUUUAUCUGCUUCAGAGAAACUGAUGAAGCAAUGCUGCCAUCGCGGGGUUUGUAUCUUUUGUGGUGGAGCAGGACCUGCAAGGAAAGGUGAAAAAAGGGAAAACCUGAAACAAAAGAAUAAUGUAAUGACCUUUUGUAUUGUGUAUGUGUAUUUUUGUAGGACAUGAACAUUUCUGUAGACUGGUGUGGGCACUGAGGAUGGAGAAGACCACAGCAUCAUCCUGGAAAUGAUCGAGAGUCACAGAUGAGAUGCUCCCUCACUUCACCUGCCCUUUGCGGUCUCAUCAGGACCAGAUGCUACUGUUGUGUCUUCAUCCUCAGUUUGAAUACCAGGGAACACUUGUUAGGUAGUCGUGCUCAUGGGGUGCAGGCACACGAAAGUUUGGAGCAGACACAGCAGUAAGAUUGUCCUGCACGUGUUCUUCUGCUCUAGCUUCAAGGUUGUGUGGUUCAGAGAGCUGUCAUCAAGGUCUUCCUCAUCCUGUUGCUCAACGACAUCCGCAUUGAGAAGAGUGAGAUUGUGAAGUGCAGCAGCAGAACUGUAUCAGCUGUGUUCAGAUGGCAGGAGGAUGUUGGGUUCACCAAGGAUGUGUUGUUGACUUGUAUAUGUAUGCAUUUAUUGUGAUGCUUACUUUUAUACAUAGUUUUAAUCAUUUAGACAUUUUUUUUUUUGUUCUCAGUAAAUAAAAUGUAAAUAUUUUAUCCAUUCAUGUAUUAAUUGCUUGACUAAAAAUUGAUGUAUUCACAUCGACUGCAUUUGUUUACCUAGUAUAUAUUCAUAGCUAUGUCACAAAAGAAAAUAAAUGUAGCUUAUUUUACUAAAAUAUAAUUAAUUUUUUUUUAUAUAUGAUUAUUGGUUGCCAUUUAUCGUUAUUAUUGCAUGUAAGUGUUGGGGUGGGCAAAAUAUGCAAUUCAUUAUGGGGUAAUUUUAAUUUUUGAAUAGUAAUACUUACAUUUUUAGAGUAUCAAAUCAGCAGUCUUCUACAAAGGUGAGAUCUUCGAGCAGCUGAUCGAAGUACCCCUUUGUGCAG